rnacentral:sRNA from 1 species
CCCAGAGAAAGGCUGAUUUCCAACAUCCCGCAGGGCCUGUGGAGCCAGAGCCCAGAGACAGAGGCCUGCAGAGGAGGUAAUUCUGCCCGAAGACCCCAGACUCCCACCCGCCCCUCGCCCAUACACUGCCCCUAAAGCUUCCGUUCCUCCCCCAGGUCCAGCCCCGCUGCCGACGCCCAGGAAGAAAACCCCUGUGAGUGAGAGGAAGAGGUGAUCAGCCAGGAGGGAGAUGGGGGCCCC